GGGCUCUAAGGAGGAAUGGCGGCCGUGGGCAGCCUGCUUGGGUAAGCAUGGACUUUUAGGUCCCUGGGGAUUACUGUCAGGGGCCACCCCAGGGAACCCAUCUCUUCGGCAGGAAACCGCCAUUCUAAUCCUCCCUAGUCCUCGCUAUUGUCCACUGUCCCCUGUGCUGGAAGCUUUGUGCCCUUGCUCAGCCUGGCAGCCUCUUCCUGGCUAGGGGGCCAGAACAGCUCUGACCACAGCCUGCAACUCGUGAGGAAGCCCUGAGGCUCAUCCUGCCCCUGGCACGGGUCACCAGCUCUGGUAGUGUCUCCUAUGGCCCGGCAGUGCCCAAUCACAGCCAGCCUCAGUCAUGUUGGCACUCUGCUGCAGCGCUGUCGGCUGACCAGUGCUUGCACGUUUAUCUGCAGCCGGCUGAGGCAGAGCACCGUGAAGGCCACUGGACCUGCACUCCGCCACCUGCACGCAUCCUCCUGGCGAGCUGACAGCAGCAGGGCCUCACUCACUCGUGUGCACCGCCAGGCUUAUGCACGACUCUACCCCGUGCUGCUGGUGAAGCAGGAUGGCUCCACCAUCCACAUCCGCUACAGGGAGCCGCGGCGCAUGCUGGCGAUGCCCGUAGAUCUGGACACCCUGUCCCCUGAGGAGCGCCGGGCCAGGCUGCGGAAGCGUGAGGCUCAGCUCCAGUCAAGGAAGGAGUACGAGCAGGAGCUCAGUGAUGACUUGCAUGUGGAGCGCUACCAACAGUUCUGGACCAGGACCAAGAAGUGACCGUGGCUCCAGCCACCCCGGGACGUUGCUAAGAUGGGAGGGCUGUUCUUAAAUCACUCGUUCUUGAAGCUGCCACCUGGA
rnacentral:sRNA from 1 species